rnacentral:rRNA from 1 species
CCUACGGGUGGCAGCAGUGAGGAAUAUUGGUCAAUGGGCGCGAGCCUGAACCAGCCAAGUAGCGUGAAGGAUGACUGCCCUACGGGUUGUAAACUUCUUUUAUAAAGGAAUAACGUGAGGCCCGUGUGCCUUUUUGUAUGUACUUUAUGAAUAAGGAUCGGCUAAAUCCGUUCCCGCUGCCGCGGUAAUUCGGGGGAUUCGCGCGUUAUCCGGAUUUCUUGGGUUUAAAGGGAUCGGAGGUGGAUGGUUAAGUUCGUUGGGAAAGUUUGGGGGUCAAACGUAAAAGUGCAGUUGAAACUGGCAGUCUUGAGUACAGUAGAGGUGUGCGGAAUGCGUGGUGUAGCGGUGAAAUGCUUAGAUAUCACGAAGAACUCCGAUUGCGAAGGCAGUUCACUGGACUGCAACUGACACUGAGGCUCGAAAGUGUGGGUAUCAAACAGGAUUAGAAACCCUUGUAGUC